AAGAGAGCCUUCCCUCCCCACCAUUCCCAGAAAAGGAGGAAGGGACUGAUGGACUCUCUGGGAACCCCCUCCCCUCCCUGCGCCUCGUCAUCAGGAGUCAAAUUCGAAGAAAAGGUUUAGCAGGGACAGAGAAGCGACCUGUCCCGGAAACCCCUUAAAGCCUGCGGCACGCGAAGAGGGAAGCAGAGGGGAGCGAUGGAUACUGAGGCUUCCGGAGGCGGGGAUCGAACCCUAGGCUUGAGCAUGGUGCUGCCCAGUCCGCUCGGAGGGCCGACCAGCAGGACGAGCUCUUCCCGGCGAGGUGCGGGAAGGAGGAACAUGUAGGGGACCCAGCAUGGAGUUCUGAGGACAGAGAAGCAGGGGGCUCCUACAUCCAGAGACACCAAAGACAGAAAAUAAACCGACUUAAAGCAA
rnacentral:antisense_RNA from 1 species